CGGACGGGUGAGUAAUGCUUGGGAAUCUGGCUUAUGGAGGGGGAUAACUACGGGAAACUGUAGCUAAUACCGCGUAAUAUCUUCGGAUUAAAGGGUGGGACUUUCGGGCCACCUGCCAUAAGAUGAGCCCAAGUGGGAUUAGGUAGUUGGUGGGGUAAAGGCCUACCAAGCCGACGAUCUCUAGCUGGUCUGAGAGGAUGACCAGCCACACUGGAACUGAGACACGGUCCAGACUCCUACGGGAGGCAGCAGUGGGGAAUAUUGCACAAUGGGGGGAACCCUGAUGCAGCCAUGCCGCGUGAAUGAAGAAGGCCUUCGGGUUGUAAAGUUCUUUCGGUGAUGAGGAAGGUGUUUGUUUUAAUAGAGCAAGCAAUUGACGUUAGUCACAGAAGAAGCACCGGCUAACUCCGUGCCAGCAGCCGCGGUAAUACGGAGGGUGCGAGCGUUAAUCGGAAUGACUGGGCGUAAAGGGCACGCAGGCGGUGACUUAAGUGAGAUGUGAAAGCCCCGAGCUUAACUUGGGGAUUGCAUUUCAUACUGGGUCGCUAGAGUACUUUAGGGAGGGGUAGAAUUCCACGUGUAGCGGUGAAAUGCGUAGAGAUGUGGAGGAAUACCG
rnacentral:rRNA from 1 species